CCACAGGUGGCUCAGACGGUAAAGCAUCUGUCUACAAUGCAGGAGACCCGGGUUCGAUUCCUGGGUUGGGAA
rnacentral:tRNA from 1 species